rnacentral:rRNA from 1 species
AGCGUACACGGUGGAUGCCCUGGCAGUCAGAGGCGAUGAAGGACGUGCUAAUCUGCGAUAAGCGUCGGUAAGGUGAUAUGAACCGUUAUAACCGGCGAUUUCCGAAUGGGGAAACCCAGUGUGAUUCGUCACACUAUCAUUAACUGAAUCCAUAGGUUAAUGAGGCGAACCGGGGGAACUGAAACAUCUAAGUACCCCGAGGAAAAGAAAUCAACCGAGAUUCCCCCAGUAGCGGCGAGCGAACGGGGAGCAGCCCAGAGCCUGAAUCAGUGUGUGUGUUAGUGGAAGCGUCUGGAAAGGCGUGCGAUACAGGGUGACAGCCCCGUACACAAAAAUGCACAUGCUGUGAGCUCGAUGAGUAGGGCGGGACACGUGGUAUCCUGUCUGAAUAUGGGGGGACCAUCCUCCAAGGCUAAAUACUCCUGACUGACCGAUAGUGAACCAGUACCGUGAGGGAAAGGCGAAAAGAACCCCGGCGAGGGGAGUGAAAAAGAACCUGAAACCGUGUACGUACAAGCAGUGGGAGCACGCUUAGGCGUGUGACUGCGUACCUUUUGUAUAAUGGGUCAGCGACUUAUAUUCUGUAGCAAGGUUAACCGAAUAGGGGAGCCGAAGGGAAACCGAGUCUUAACUGGGCGUUAAGUUGCAGGGUAUAGACCCGAAACCCGGUGAUCUAGCCAUGGGCAGGUUGAAGGUUGGGUAACACUAACUGGAGGACCGAACCGACUAAUGUUGAAAAAUUAGCGGAUGACUUGUGGCUGGGGGUGAAAGGCCAAUCAAACCGGGAGAUAGCUGGUUCUCCCCGAAAGCUAUUUAGGUAGCGCCUCGUGAAUUCAUCUCCGGGGGUAGAGCACUGUUUCGGCAAGGGGGUCAUCCCGACUUACCAACCCGAUGCAAACUGCGAAUACCGGAGAAUGUUAUCACGGGAGACACACGGCGGGUGCUAACGUCCGUCGUGAAGAGGGAAACAACCCAGACCGCCAGCUAAGGUCCCAAAGUCAUGGUUAAGUGGGAAACGAUGUGGGAAGGCCCAGACAGCCAGGAUGUUGGCUUAGAAGCAGCCAUCAUUUAAAGAAAGCGUAAUAGCUCACUGGUCGAGUCGGCCUGCGCGGAAGAUGUAACGGGGCUAAACCAUGCACCGAAGCUGCGGCAGCGACACUAUGUGUUGUUGGGUAGGGGAGCGUUCUGUAAGCCUGUGAAGGUGUACUGUGAGGUAUGCUGGAGGUAUCAGAAGUGCGAAUGCUGACAUAAGUAACGAUAAAGCGGGUGAAAAGCCCGCUCGCCGGAAGACCAAGGGUUCCUGUCCAACGUUAAUCGGGGCAGGGUGAGUCGACCCCUAAGGCGAGGCCGAAAGGCGUAGUCGAUGGGAAACAGGUUAAUAUUCCUGUACUUGGUGUUACUGCGAAGGGGGGACGGAGAAGGCUAUGUUGGCCGGGCGACGGUUGUCCCGGUUUAAGCGUGUAGGCUGGUUUUCCAGGCAAAUCCGGAAAAUCAAGGCUGAGGCGUGAUGACGAGGCACUACGGUGCUGAAGCAACAAAUGCCCUGCUUCCAGGAAAAGCCUCUAAGCAUCAGGUAACAUCAAAUCGUACCCCAAACCGACACAGGUGGUCAGGUAGAGAAUACCAAGGCGCUUGAGAGAACUCGGGUGAAGGAACUAGGCAAAAUGGUGCCGUAACUUCGGGAGAAGGCACGCUGAUAUGUAGGUGAAGUCCCUCGCGGAUGGAGCUGAAAUCAGUCGAAGAUACCAGCUGGCUGCAACUGUUUAUUAAAAACACAGCACUGUGCAAACACGAAAGUGGACGUAUACGGUGUGACGCCUGCCCGGUGCCGGAAGGUUAAUUGAUGGGGUUAGCGCAAGCGAAGCUCUUGAUCGAAGCCCCGGUAAACGGCGGCCGUAACUAUAACGGUCCUAAGGUAGCGAAAUUCCUUGUCGGGUAAGUUCCGACCUGCACGAAUGGCGUAAUGAUGGCCAGGCUGUCUCCACCCGAGACUCAGUGAAAUUGAACUCGCUGUGAAGAUGCAGUGUACCCGCGGCAAGACGGAAAGACCCCGUGAACCUUUACUAUAGCUUGACACUGAACAUUGAGCCUUGAUGUGUAGGAUAGGUGGGAGGCUUUGAAGUGUGGACGCCAGUCUGCAUGGAGCCGACCUUGAAAUACCACCCUUUAAUGUUUGAUGUUCUAACGUUGACCCGUGAUCCGGGUUGCGGACAGUGUCUGGUGGGUAGUUUGACUGGGGCGGUCUCCUCCUAAAGAGUAACGGAGGAGCACGAAGGUUGGCUAAUCCUGGUCGGACAUCAGGAGGUUAGUGCAAUGGCAUAAGCCAGCUUGACUGCGAGCGUGACGGCGCGAGCAGGUGCGAAAGCAGGUCAUAGUGAUCCGGUGGUUCUGAAUGGAAGGGCCAUCGCUCAACGGAUAAAAGGUACUCCGGGGAUAACAGGCUGAUACCGCCCAAGAGUUCAUAUCGACGGCGGUGUUUGGCACCUCGAUGUCGGCUCAUCACAUCCUGGGGCUGAAGUAGGUCCCAAGGGUAUGGCUGUUCGCCAUUUAAAGUGGUACGCGAGCUGGGUUUAGAACGUCGUGAGACAGUUCGGUCCCUAUCUGCCGUGGGCGCUGGAGAACUGAGGGGGGCUGCUCCUAGUACGAGAGGACCGGAGUGGACGCAUCACUGGUGUUCGGGUUGUCAUGCCAAUGGCACUGCCCGGUAGCUAAAUGCGGAAGAGAUAAGUGCUGAAAGCAUCUAAGCACGAAACUUGCCCCGAGAUGAGUUCUCCCUGACUCCUUGA